AUCUAUCUGACGAGUCCCAAAUAGGAAGAAACACGCGUCCUAGAU
rnacentral:hammerhead_ribozyme from 1 species